CCGUUCGGUGAGUUUGGAGUACUGAACAAGGGCAUUCAGGCGGAUUACAGUUUAAUCAUGGGGGGUACAAAGUAUGGGUGUACCUGCUAAUCUUGGGGUGCAUCCAGAACUUGGGGAAAACUGUAACCUGUAUAAUGGGAUUAGGUGUUAUACUAAGGGGAGGAGAGGUGUGGGAGGUAACUGCUAUUUCAUUGGGUACUGUAUUAAUGAAUGUGAAUCCCUCCCUUGCAUGGGAGAAAUGCUUAAAAGGAGGCUGUGUGGAAUAAACAUGAGUGCUGCUCCUGAUGCUGUGUGUCGUCCAGUCAUUGGGAUCUGUAUGGGGAUAUUCGUGGAUUGCUUUGCUUAUUGGAAUUAUUGCUUCAUGGGAUUUUUCAUCACUUGUUCCUGAGCCUCACUGGGAUCUUAGUGGAGUUAACCUGUGAAAUACAAGGCCUCCGCUACACUGAU